rnacentral:rRNA from 1 species
UACGGAGGGUGCGAGCGUUGUCCGGAAUCACUGGGCGUAAAGGGCGCGUAGGUGGCGCGACAAGUCAACGGUGAAAGCUCGGCGCUCAACGCCGAGUCGGCCGUCGAUACUGUCGGGCUUGAGCACUGUAGAGGCUAAUGGAAUUCCGGGUGUAGCGGUGGAAUGCGUAGAGAUCCGGAAGAACACCGGUGGCGAAGGCGGUUAGCUGGGCAGUUGCUGACACUGAGGCGCGACAGCGUGGGGAGCAAACAG